rnacentral:rRNA from 1 species
ACCCAGACUCCUACGGGAGGCAGCAGUGGGGGAUAUUGCACAAUGGGGGAAACCCUGAUGCAGCGACGCCGCGUGAGUGAAGAAGUAUUUCGGUAUGUAAAGCUCUAUCAGCAGGGACGAAAAUGACGGUACCUGAGUAAGAAGCCCCGGCUAACUACGUGCCAGCAGCCGCGGUAAUACGUAGGGGGCAAGCGUUAUCCGGAUUUACUGGGUGUAAAGGGAGCGUAGACGGUGAGACAAGUCUGAAGUGAAAGCCCGGGGCUCAACCCCGGGACUGCUUUGGAAACUGCCUGACUGGAGUGCUGGAGAGGUAAGCGGAAUUCCUAGUGUAGCGGUGAAAUGCGUAGAUAUUAGGAGGAACACCAGUGGCGAAGGCGGCUUACUGGACUGUAACUGACGUUGAGGCUCGAAAGCGUGGGGAGCAAACAGGAUUAGAUACCCCCGUAC